rnacentral:lncRNA from 1 species
UCGCUUAAUUGAAAUCUUUCUAUUUUGAUGUAAAGACGAUUGUGAGCGGAUAUUGUUCCAAAAUUGCACUUCAAUUAUUUAUCAAUGAGCAUUCUCUUUUCCUUUAGUCUUUUAUUCCAUUAUUUAUAUUUUGUUAACUUGAUCAACUAACGUUUGUAUGAAUAUCGAGAUAAAUCUUUGUGCGUAUUUUAUAUCUUGCAUGUUUCGAUUAUGGAAUUGAUUUAUGGAUUAAGUAAUUAUUUAUCUAAAAUUGAG